rnacentral:rRNA from 1 species
GGCGUGCUUAACAGAUGCGAGUCGAGUGCGCGUUCCGUAUCGAUACGGAAUGGCGCACGGGGCACGGGUGCGUAACACGUGGGUAAGCUGCCCUUUGAUGGGGAAUAACUCCGCGAAAGCGGAGCUGAUUCCGCAUAAGAUCCUCCGCAAGGAUGAUGAAAGCCGUAAGGCGUCGAAGGAGGGGCCCGCGCCCGAUUAGCUUGUUGGUAGGGUAACGGUCUACCAAGGCUAUGAUCGGUAGCUGGUCUGAGAGGAUGGCCAGCCACACUGGAACUGAGACACGGUCCAGACUCCUACGGGAGGCAGCAGUGGGGAAUCUUGCGCAAUGGGCGAAAGCCUGACGCAGCGACGCCGCGUGGGGGAUGAAGCUUCUCGGAGUGUAAACCCCUUUCGACCGGGACGAAUGCCCGCAAGGGAGUGACGGUACCGGUAGAAGAAGCCCCGGCUAACUACGUGCCAGCAGCCGCGGUAAGACGUAGGGGGCCAGCGUUGAUCGGAAUUACUGGGUGUAAAGGGUCAGUAGGCGGUGUGGCAAGUCGGGAGUGAAAUCUAUGGGCUUUACCCAUAGGCUGCUUUCGAAACUGCUGUGCUUGA